rnacentral:lncRNA from 1 species
GAAGUCUUCAAAUGAAACAGGAAGCACACAGAGAGAGCAGAGCACUUACUAACAUGAAAUUAGAAACCAAAGUGAAUGAAGAGGAACUCACAGAGGCAGGCAACUGCACCCCUGCUUCCUGAGCCACCUGGGACUUGAAGUUCUACCACUGUGGCUCCAAAGCUGCCCAACUAGAAACCCCAAAAGGCAAGAGAACUACGAUACCCACAAUUCAGGCUCCUCACCCGAAACCAGAAGAGGGCGUAUGGCUAGAGUUUCACCCUAAGAAGAAAGGGGAAGCAGGUGGAAAAGCAAUUAAAAAAAAAUCAGAUUCUCUUUCGGUGAUUCAGAGCUGAAGGUGCCUCACUGCCCUGUGGAACAGGUGAAUAAAGCCUUCCCAGCAUCUCUCUCUAGCCUAUUAUCUCCUGUUAGACACAGCCCAGAAAAUGAAUAGAGACAAGUCCUGGCUGGGUCUGGGUUCAGAAACAUAAUAGAAGGAUUCAUCUAAUCUGUCGGCCACUGUGGAGGAAGUGAACCUUCUAGAUCCUGCUGACUCAUACAAUGAGUUUUGUGUGGACCAUCAGACAAAAGGGCUGGCUGGUGAAGGUGGCUGUUGUCUGGAAAUUCCUCCCAGCUCUCCUCUAAUUAUGUCAUAAGGACUGGAGGCCCCUUAGCCUGCUUGUGAUAACACGCAAGGAAAUAUGGGCCAACUCUUCACAUGAACACAAGAUAUUUCCAUGCUAGCCUUUUGCAAGUAACAACAGAGAGAGCUCUGUGCAGUUUUCACUGGAAUGCCUGUGGAUUGCUUGUGUCAUAACUGUAAUCUAAAGAGUUGUCCAUUUGUUGAUUCCUUUGUAUUUGUAUUGGUAGAAUUGCCACUAUCAAACCAAGAUCUUUAGCUGCCUUUGUAUCAACUUCUUUGGAGCUUAUGUGAUUUUCCAGAAAAUUUCCAAGGCAUAGUUUUGUCCCUAAGUCCCAUGAAUAUGUAAUAUUUUGUGUCUCUCUAUUAAAAUAGCACUUUUUGUGCAUUCCAUUAACAAAUAUAUGUGUAUGUGUCUGUGUGUGGACAAACAUAUCAAUUACUUCACCCA